rnacentral:rRNA from 1 species
AGCAGCCGCGGUAAUUCCAGCUCCAAUAGCGUAUAUUAAAGUUGUUGCAGUUAAAAAGCUCGUAGUUGAAUUUCGGGAUCAAUAUAUCGGUCGUGCCUUGGUACGUACUGGUAUCAUUGGUUUCUCCUUUCUGACGAACCAUGAUGUCAUUAAUUUGGUGUUAUGGGAAGUUAGGACUGUUACUUUGAAAAAAAUUAGAGUGUUUAAAGCAGGCUUUGGCUUGAAUACAUUAGCAUGGAAUAAUGAAAUAGGACGUUCGAACCUAUUUUGUUGGUUUCUAGGAUCAACGUAAUGAUUAAUAGGGAUAGUUGGGGGCAUUAGUAUUCAAUUGUCAGAGGUGAAAUUCUUGGAUUUAUUGAAGACUAACUACUGCGGAAGCAUUUGCCAAGGAUGUUUUCAUUAAUCAAGAACGAAAGUUAGGGGAUCGAAGACGAUCAGAUACCGUCGUAGUCUUAACCAUAAACUAUGCCGACUAGGGAUCGGAUGAUGUUAAUUUUUUAAUGACUCAUUCGGCGCCUUA